rnacentral:rRNA from 1 species
UACGUAGGGUGCGAGCGUUGUCCGGAAUUACUGGGCGUAAAGCGCGUGUAGGCGGUUUCGCAAGUCAGGUGUGAAAGCCCAGGGCUCAACCCUGGAAGUGCACAUGAUACUACGGAGCUGGAGUACUGAAGAGGAGAGCGGAAUUCCCGGUGUAGAGGUGAAAUUCGUAGAUAUCGGGAGGAACACCAGUGGCGAAGGCGGCUCUCUGGGCAGAUACUGACGCUGAGACGCGAAAGCGUGGGUAGCAAACAGG